UUUGCUUUGACUGCAUAUCACUUCACUUCUAUAUCACUGAUUCUACGUGCUUCCAGGUUGUUCUAUCGUGAGGACUGCCAGAAUGCAAGCCCAACUGAUGUCCUACCCGGAGACACCAUCAAAUAAGUGGGAUGUUUUGCAGGCAGCCACGUUCCAAAGAAGCUGUCCUAGGCAAUGCAGAAGCAGGUUCAGAAAAGGAGGUUAGAAAUCGGUGUCCCAUCCUGAGUUGUCAUCUGGAGGCUCACUGCUACCACCCCUGCGCUGACUCGGGAGCGGCGAAGACGAACACAUGCUGUCCUCCGAAACACGUGCCAUCAGCCAACCGCUUCUUUUCACUCUGCAGGCCCGCCAUGCAGCCAACCCAGAGAUCCAGCGUUUGAGGCCACUCGGGAGCCAAAAAAUACAUAAUCAAGCAGCAACAGCUACUAUACAUUCUCUUUCUGAAUAAACUAUCCAAAAUAACAAUUACAUAAGACGUUUUCCUUUUGCUAAUUCCAUUAUUUUUGCAUCACAUUUCAAACCCUUGCAGAUGAUUGCAAUACUAUGUAGUCUACAACAAAUUAAAGGCAGGUAGUAGAGU